UCCCUAAUGGCAUGUAUCAAGGGAGAGACGAGUUCCAUAUAAAAUAUUGAACGAUUUAAGUUCUGUGGACCUUCUUUAUGAAGAAAUUUGAACAGAAAUCUUGGUAUUUUUAAAGCAGAGCAACUUAUAGCCUAUCAAAAGAAUUCUGAGGGACGCAGAUAUCUUGUGAAGUGGGAAAACUACUCUUUAUAUGAGAACACAUGGGAGCCUGAAGAACAUAUUUCUUCACUCUUAUUAAGAUACUUUGAAAGGCCUUGUCCUCCCAGAGAGAUUAUUGAACUCUGUGUAGACAGGUUAAGAAUUGCAGUUAUGGGGGCCCUCCAUCAUAAAGGCCCAGAGCAAUGAGUAGUUGUUGAGUUUCGCCAUGAAGUUUACAAACAUUUGUUCGUUAAAAUGGGGAAGAAUUCAAAUGAGAAGAGCUGGAAUAAGUUUGAGGAAGGAGAUUUUGACAAACGUUAUUUCCCUGAAAACUGGAAUUGCAUAAUAGAUCAACAUGGAGAUGGUGUCAAGCUUAAAUUCCCAGUCAAAAUGCGUGCCUUUCUCAGCAUCUCACCCAAAACAUAUCAUAAAGUAGGAGGAGAAAUGAAUUUAGUCCCAGGAGCAUACACCAAGAAAUUGUCUCUAAGGUUUAUCAAGAUUCCAACAUCAUGUAGCUUAUAAAAGCAAAAAAGAAAAUUGUUUGUUAUGGAUCAGUAAAACUUACUAGUGACCUUACUAUUCCAAUCUUCAUCACUCUGUUUUUGUGGAAGAACAAAAAAGUUCAAGUUCAUCAUUGCUCGUAUUAAAUACUACAUAUAACAACCUCAGUUACAAAAGACUCUGGAAUAACA